rnacentral:rRNA from 1 species
AGUGAACGCUGGCGGUAGGCCUAACACAUGCAAGUCGAACGGCAGCACAGUAAGAGCUUGCUCUUACGGGUGGCGAGUGGCGGACGGGUGAGGAAUACAUCGGAAUCUACUUUUUCGUGGGGGAUAACGUAGGGAAACUUACGCUAAUACCGCAUACGACCUACGGGUGAAAGCAGGGGAUCUUCGGACCUUGCGCGAUUGAAUGAGCCGAUGUCGGAUUAGCUAGUUGGCGGGGUAAAGGCCCACCAAGGCGACGAUCCGUAGCUGGUCUGAGAGGAUGAUCAGCCACACUGGAACUGAGACACGGCCCAGACCCCUACGGGAGGCAGCAGUGGGGAAUAUUGGACAAUGGGCGCAAGCCUGAUCCAGCCAUACCGCGUGGGUGAAGAAGGCCUUCGGGUUGUAAAGCCCUUUUGUUGGGAAAGAAAAGCAGCAGGUUAAUACCCCGCUGUUCGGACGGUACCCAAAGAAUAAGCACCGGCUAACUUCGU